CCUGCCUCCAGAGGCGUUGCAGGUGUGGCUGCCGUGCCACAUUUGUGUCAUUAGGUGGCAGAGAGAAAAGAGGCUUGUCUACGCUCAGUGUUCUGGCAGGUGAACAUCUGGAUGAUUAAUGGUCUGAUACG